CAAGGAGGACUCAAGGUAAUGUUUCUGUCACAUACCCACACCAGAGCAUGUCAGUCUUUUUGAGGAUUGAACAGAGUCUCCAUAGCAGACAGGACAUUAAAUUCGGUGACCAUGCUAUGAAAAUAUGCAAAGGUGUUAUUCAUGACUGCAUAGAUCCCAGAGGAACACCAGGGAAUAUUUAGGAGGUCUCACAAAUACUCACCUAAGGGAAGUCAGAACACCCUCUCUCAACCACAGCAUGGCAGAGAGCAAAGCCAGACCAAGCUCCAACACACUGAUGAUCAGCAUCACUGAAAGGGCUCCCUAAAUUCAGGAGACGAGAGAGUGGGUGAAGAGGACAAACUAAAUCAACAAAGCUGGUUUC
ensembl:processed_transcript